AGAAAAUUAGUUUAACUAAAACAAUAAUUUGUCAAAUUAUAAAUAUAAAAUUAUUAUAUUUUCUU
rnacentral:tRNA from 1 species